UGAGAUGGGCUGGUGGGUUCGUGGAUAUGAAUAAAGAACCAAACGUGAACUAAAGAGACAGUUUUGUUUUUCAGCUUUGCGUGAAAGUGAAUAGCCGUGCUUGUUUUGACAGCACAUACGCUGAAAUUGUAAGAUUAAUCAGCAUUGUCUUUAAGAAAAAUGAUAGAAUACUGAAAAUAAAGUGGAAAGUAGGAGGUACUGUAAAAACUUGUUAUCCCUUGGAUGUGAUGGAAGAAAACUUUAAAGUGCUGAUGAGAAACAUUGAAAAGAGACAUAUCUUGUUCUUGGAUAAGAUUCAACAUUAUUUUGAAAGGUGUCAGUUCUCCCUAAGUUAAAUUACAUAUUUGUCAUAAUCCUAAUAAAAUACAUUAUUUUUGAUCUGG